rnacentral:lncRNA from 1 species
GAAGAGUGUUUCUAAUGAAUGGACGUGUCCAAACUGUCAGGUGCAGAGAGCAACAGAUAGCACCUGUCAUCUGAGCUCACAGGAUGGAUGGUCAGAAAUAUCCUUCAGUUAUAGACAAAAGGCGUGCAGUUCCUUCGGGUUAUAAAGGCUCCACUGAAACCAGGAUUGCUUCUAAUAUGAUUCAUCACUGCCUAGAAAUUAAUUUCAUAAAGUCUGCUUGAUGACCAACAUCAUACCUCUGAAAUGUGGUGCUUUAUGACAAACGUAUUCUUCUGAAUCAUUUCUUAUAUUUUAGGAAUAUUUAAAUACAUUUGGAAAGUAAAGCAAAAAAUACUUUAUAGGUCUCUAAUUUUCUCCAAACUAUAUACUAUAAAGUAGCUUUAAUUAGUAAACAUGAAUUGAUGUGCUUGAAUUUGAGCAAAAUUUCAUAGGACACUGUACACUAAAAUGUGGUAAACUAAAUUCAGGAC